UUGAACUAAUAGUUGGACCUACAUAUAUAAUUUCAGCGUGACAAGACCAUCAAAAAAGCUCAUGAGAGAAGACAUUUUUCUAUUAGGAAGACGAAAGACAUAAUUGCGAAGGAAUAUUAUAUACCGAAACUUGAGGCCAAAGUAGAACGACUUAUUAGAUGCUGCGUUCAGUGUAUUAUCUCAAACCUCAAACAAUUGAAAAAGGAGGGACUGUUAAAUCCAUUUCCUAAGGAAGAAGAACCACUGCAAACAUUCCACAUUCAUUUUUUGGGUCCGCUGACAAGAGAUACAAACACAUCUUAGCUGUCAAGAUGCAUUCACCAAAUAUUGCUGGUUAUAUACGACUAAGACGACAUCCGCCCAAGAAGUUAUAUCGAGAUUGCAAACACAAAGUCUCACAUUUGGAAACCCAGUCCUGAUUAUUACAGUCCUUUCACAUCAGAACACUUCAAGGAGUAUUGCCGUUCAGAGAAUAUCCUUCAUCACGCUGUUACUACCGGAUUGCCUAGAUAUAUCUGUUUUAUCCAAGCUUUUUGUUGAUGACCCGAGCAAAUGGUACAAGUUUGUUGGAAGAGUUCAGCAAACAAUAAAUUCAACUCACUGUAGAAGCACAAUUAUUACGCCGUUCGAGUUAUUAGUGGGAAUUAAAAUGCGUACGAAAAAAGAGAUGACCUAAGGAAGCAUGCGAAGCAGCAAAUCAUAAAUCUACAAAAGGAAAACAAGAACACUUACAUGCAUCAGUUUAUAAUGAAGGCGAUCUUGUUGCAAUUAAACCUACUUAAAUCGGAGGUGGACUGAAGUUAAAGCCAAAGUAUUUAGAUGCACACUUUGUAGAUGGUCCAAAAUAUACGACUACUUGCGCCGAAUAUAUGAAGAAAUAGAUCCCUAUUUCUACAUAAGGAUGUAGACGAUGAAGAUGUUGCUGAUAACUAAGAAAACUUACAAAAGGAUAAAGAUGUUGACAACGAUGAUAAUGAUAACUACUCCGAAGAUGAUGAUAAUGAUAAUUACAACAAUGAUAACGAGAUUGACGAUUACGAAGAUGAUGACGACGAUGCUGAAAACCAAUAAUGACUACCAUGAAGGCGAUGCGGAAAACCACGAAUUUAUGGAUGACACCUCUAACGACGAUACAGACGACUCCAAAACUGAAGACGACGAAAAUGAAGAUGACUCCAAAGAAGAUGAUGACGACUUCGAAGACGACGACGACAUAUUUGGGGCAAAUGCAUUUGGGGAUGGUCGAUCUGUGGGGAUAGUAUGAUAGCGCCGCAAGGCCAAAACUACUCCCGAAGCAGCUGAUCAACGAGGUGGCAAUGAAAGAGAAGACGAAGUGGCAAGGCAGAGUUGAAAAAGUGGAGUCUAGUCUAGUCAUAAUUUGUCAAAACCCAUUGUUCCGUUAAU